rnacentral:lncRNA from 1 species
CGAAGUGAAAAAUAAUUACGAUAAGCACCAAUGUGCAAAUUUUACAACAAUAAGCACCGAAGUACAAAAUAAUACGAUAAGCGCGCUAAUUUUUCCUUAAUGGCAUGCCAUCAAUAUCCCAAUAGUUUGGGACUUGUCUACAUGGGCUUUUCUUAUUAUUAAAUCUUUUUAUUCAUUCACUUGACAGAAAAUAAUAUAACUUUGUAUUUUUCACGAUUUAGUCCUUAUCACAAUAAUAACACUAAAACCUAUAAAUUCUCUUCAUUAUACCACAUACAACACUAUAAUUUUUACAUCACUUUAUUUAAACUGACUUUCCACAUAUUCAUAAUAUCAUAACAUAUUUUAAUUUCUUUCAAUUUAGUCCUUUUUCAUUAUCACCACAAUACAUCAUAUAAUGGUACACCAAAGCCAACAUUCAUAACAUUUACAUUAUUUAACCCUACUAAAUACUUACUACGAUUUCAUUAAUUUAGUAAUUAACUACUUAAUUAACAUAAUUAUCUAAUUAACAUAACUUAAACAAAAUUACUAUUUGAAGUACUUACAACCAAAAUUUGGAUGAUGAGUUUUUCUUCUCUUCUACUCCUUAGCCACUUCUUUCCUUUCCCUUCACUUUUGUCCUCAAACCUCUUCUCUUUUUCUUCAAUUUCAUAACAACAUAUAACAUUUAUAAGUUAAAACUAAAAAUCAAAUAACUUUUCUAUGCUAGAUUAUGAAAAUAAACAUGUAUGAUGAGAAUUUCCAUCAUCCUUACCUUAACUUUUUGAAAAUCCAAAACUCUAACUCAUGUAUUUCUCUCUUUUAACCCAUCUAUGGAAGUUUCCUCAUGAAAUAAAGUUGCUCACUAGUCUUUUUUUUUUAGCUUUUACUAAAUAAAUUUCAAAGGAAAAUGAAGGUUUGGAGCUUGGAUGGUUCAACAAUGGAGGAAGGACAUGGAAGGAAAUAAAAGAAAAGUUGGAUGGAUUUGGGGGAAGGUGAGUGAUGGUUGGUAUGUUGAAAAAGAUGAUAUCUUUCAUCUUUUCUCCACUUUUCGACAGAUUUCCACUAAAAAUAUCUCACUUUUUUU